rnacentral:rRNA from 1 species
UACGUAGGGGGCGAGCGUUGUCCGGAUUUAUUGGGCGUAAAGAGCUCGUAGGCGGUUGGGUAAGUCGGGUGUGAAAACUCAGGGCUCAACUCUGAGACGCCACUCGAUACUGCCCUGACUCGAGUCCGGUAGGGGAGCGUGGAAUUCCCGGUGUAGCGGUGGAAUGCGCAGAUAUCGGGAGGAACACCAGUGGCGAAGGCGACUUCCUGGCCUGUUCUUGACGCUGAGGCGCGAAAGCUAGGGUAGCAAACGGG